AUUUGGAUCAUGUAUCCUUUCAUAAUCGAAUCAUUGAUACAAGACAACACCCAUAAUUGCACAAACAGAGAGAAGAAAAAAACUUAGUACUAUCGAACUGCCACACAACUACUCGACAGGAAAGUGAGACCAAACAUCUUGAUCAAGUGUAGGAGCGAAUAUCCUCGGUCAAAACUUGAAAAUGUAAUUUUGGCGGGGAAAGCAAGUCUCUAACAACAAAAUAGGCAAGCAUCCUAAAAGGCUAAAUCUCAGGCAACUCGGAUUAUUCUGGGCAAUAAAUUUUGUAUACUCGUGCCAUAAAUAAACAAUGGCUUCAAAUGGAAAUUAUGUGAUUGAUGCCAAAUCUUUUGGGAUGCAAAUUGCUGCAAUAUCCAAGUGUUAGUACCAUAACAGAUCAACGCUUGACCCAUUGGUAGCUCUUUCUUGCUUUUGCUUUACCAGGUUUUUUCCUCUCCACAACUCUUGAGUCUCUCGUCAAGUAGCCACCUUCUCUGAGGGGAGGUCGCAACUCCGGGUCCCAAUUCUGCAAUGCCCUGCUGAUGCCGAGCUGAAUUGCACCAACUUGACCUGACACACCCCCUCCUUUUACAGUACAUCUCACAUUCCACAUGCCCAAUGUCUUAGUUUCAGUAAAAGGUCGAAGAAGAACAGCCCGGUGAUCAAGCAUUGGGAAGUAUACGUCAAACUCUUUGUCAUUCACCAUAAAUUUCCCACCACCUGGUUCAACCCAAACACGGGCUAUACUACACUUCCUCCUUCCAGUCCCAUAAGCCCUUCCCUUUUCAUCUACUUGUUUGACUCGUGCCUUGGCUACUUCCUCUUGUUUUUGGCGCUCUAUGUCAGCUCUGCUUGACUUCCUAGUAUUCUUUUCAUAACGCAUAUCUUCGAUUUCACUUAAAGGAGGAAGUCCUUUAAUGCCAUCCAGGUCCUUCAGCGCAAGCAAACUGUCCAUCAUUUCGUCCGUGAUUCCAGAUGCCGCUAUUAGAUCCCCAAAUGCACGAUUAGGACCUUUAAGAACCCCAGUAAGAACUUGUUCUUCCAAUUCAAGCAGCUUUUUCUCCUCAGCACUCUGUAUUUUAGCCUCCUCUUCAGAACCCAUCAGUUCACUUUCUACCUUAACAUCUUCUCCAAUAUCAAACACCCGUUCUCCUUCCCCUUCCGCAUCAAAACUCCAAGGUUUAUACCCUUCAGCAGUAGCCCAAAUCUCCUCCCCACCACCAACACCAUCCUUCACUUCACCAGCUUCCUUAAACACAUCACCACUCUCUUCUUCUACAUUACCCCAAGACACAUCAUCCUUUCCUAUUCCCUCGACACUUUCUGAGUCUUCAUUGAACACUGAUUGCUCAGUUUCAGAAGAGAGUUUCCAGAAAUCAGGAUCCGAAUUUCUGCCAUUACUGUUGUUAUUAUUGUUGUUGUUACGCGUGGAGAAGAAAUGGGGGAACAAAUAUGGCUUAGGGGAAAUGGGUUUAGGGUUUAUGAAGUGGGUUUUGGGAGAAAUUAGGGUUAACAGCCGGAGAUGUGAGGAUUUGGAGAUGAAACGAGAGAGCAUUGUGAACACAAACAGAGGAAGAGGAGAAG
rnacentral:misc_RNA from 1 species